ACAGCAGCAGGAAGAAGACAUUGGAGAGGUGGAGGAGGAGAGAGAGAAAGAGAGUGAUAGACCGGGGAGGGGAAGGAAGAAAAGACAAAACAGGGAGAGGCACUUUUGGGGGGGGCGAGAGAGAGAAAGAGGGCAGAGUUUGCAAACGGGGAGAAUAGAGAAUGUAAAGGAUAAGGGGGAAAAGGGAGGGAUAGACAGAGAUAGAGGAAUGCGGGGCGAGGGAGAGAGAGAGAAACGGGGCUUGGCGUACAGAGUGUCUGGCUGCAUGUGUCGGGGCUGGACACAGGAGGACAGAGGGAAAUGAGACCCGGUGACCUCUGACCAUUCAGCCUGUCUGGAAACGCCAAGCCUGGAAUCGAUCAACACCCCCCUUCCCAGACAGCCUCCCUCCUGCUUCUUCCCUCCCUCCCUCCACCUCCACUCCUUCCAACCAUUCCUCCUCUCCUUCCCCCCCACUUUCUCUCUGCCCGGCGACCCCCUCACUCUUAACUCGCUCUCCCCUCCCCCACAAUCAGAUGAUCAACCCCACAGUGACUAUGCUAUAACCUACACAGCAGCACAGCAACCUCCAAACACCGACUCUGACCAAACACUGAACAGGACCCUGCUAUAUACCCAACACAUAAGGUACAUUCUGAUAUGACUGGUCAACCAUGAGUGACAGCAGGAAGGACCGUCCUCCUCAGACACAGGGUUCUGGAGGAGAUAGAAAGGUUGACGUGCAGAGGGAGGAGCCUGUAGUCAAUGUUGAGGUUCAGACAACAGAUGAAAAGAAUGGUGAGGGUGAGGCAGGU